GAUGAACGCUGGCGGCGUGCUUAACACAUGCAAGUCGAACGGAAAGGCCCAAGCUUGCUUGGGUACUCGAGUGGCGAACGGGUGAGUAACACGUGGGUGAUCUGCCCUGCACUUCGGGAUAAGCCUGGGAAACUGGGUCUAAUACGGGAUAGGACCACUUCUUGGAUGUUGUGGUGGAAAGUUUUUUCGGUGUGGGAUGAGCUCGCGGCCUAUCAGCUUGUUGGUGGGGUAAUGGCCUACCAAGGCGUCGACGGGUAGCCGGCCUGAGAGGGUGUACGGCCACAUUGGGACUGAGAUACGGCCCAGACUCCUACGGGAGGCAGCAGUGGGGAAUAUUGCACAAUGGGCGCAAGCCUGAUGCAGCGACGCCGCGUGGGGGAUGACGGCCUUCGGGUUGUAAACUCCUUUCGCUAGGGACGAAGCGUUUUGUGACGGUACCUGGAGAAGAAGCACCGGCUAACUACGUG
rnacentral:rRNA from 1 species